GACGAACGCUGGCGGCGUGCUUAACACAUGCAAGUCGAACGGAAAGGCCCUGCUUUUGUGGGGUGCUCGAGUGGCGAACGGGUGAGUAACACGUGAGUAACCUGCCCUUGACUUUGGGAUAACUUCAGGAAACUGGGGCUAAUACCGGAUAGGAGCUCCUGCUGCAUGGUGGGGGUUGGAAAGUUUCGGCGGUUGGGGAUGGACUCGCGGCUUAUCAGCUUGUUGGUGGGGUAGUGGCUUACCAAGGCUUUGACGGGUAGCCGGCCUGAGAGGGUGACCGGCCACAUUGGGACUGAGAUACGGCCCAGACUCCUACGGGAGGCAGCAGUGGGGAACAUGGCACAAUGGGCGGAAGCCUGAUGCAGCAACGCCGCGUGCGGGAUGACGGCCUUCGGGUUGUAAACCGCUUUCGCCUGUGACGAAGCGUGAGUGACGGUAAUGGGUAAAGAAGCACCGGCUAACUACGUG
rnacentral:rRNA from 1 species